rnacentral:lncRNA from 1 species
UCGCCAAGUCCCCCAAUCAAAUGAGGCGGGGUGUGGCGAGGCCGGGAAGGUCGCUCUGCCUCGCCGCGCGUCCUCCAGUGGCGUCGCUGGGGAGGCCUCCACAUCGGGCUGGACCGCGUCCCGGCGAACUGGCGGCGGGACGAGGAGCAGAUGGCCGCGGACAAGGAGCACUUCUCGCCCGCCGCCUACCGUGGGGAGUCGGAGCCGAGGGGCUCCGGGUCCAUCUCCCGCCCGCCACCCACACGCCGCAUGCCGUCUCUAACUCCAACAACGAUGACGAGGAGGCACGACAACUCCAGUAAGCCCUCCAUGAGUCGAGGCUCUGUUUCGAGGCGGAGAGGGAGGUCGCCCCAAGGUCGACAAGGAGCGGACCACAAAGGGCAUUGAGCCCUCUUUGGCACUCGAUCCUAUGUGGCGGCCCCCAAGUUUUCUUAACGGCGUAAACGAAAAAUUAUCAAAUGUUUGGAUCUGACCCACGGUUGAAGAUCGGACAGCUCACACUGCAC